rnacentral:rRNA from 1 species
UACAGAGGUGGCAAGCGUUGUUCGGAAUUACUGGGCGUAAAGGGCGAGUAGGCGGCCUUCUAAGUCAGACGUGAAAUCCCCCGGCUUAACCUGGGAACUGCGUCUGAUACUGGGAGGCUUGAGUAUGGGAGAGGGAUGUAGAAUUCCAGGUGUAGCGGUGAAAUGCGUAGAUAUCUGGAGGAAUACCGGUGGCGAAGGCGGCGUUCUGGACCAUUACUGACACUGAAUCGCGAAAGCUAGGGGAGCAAACGGG